CCUACGGGUGGCAGCAGUGGGGAAUAUUGGGCAAUGGACGAAACUCUGACCCAGCAAUGCCGCGUGAAUGAAGAAGGUCCUCGGAUUGUAAAGCUCUUUAGUCAGGGAAGAAUAAAAUGACGCUACCUGAAGAAUAAGCUCCGGCUAACUACGUGCCAGCAGUCGCGGUAAUACGUAGGGAGCAAGCGUUGUUCGGAAUGACUGGGUGUGAAGGGUGCGUAGGCGGUUAUACAAGUUAGAAGGGAAAUACCCAGGGCUUAACUCGGGUGCUGCUUCUAAAACUGUAAGACUUGAGAGCAGUAGAGGUUAGUGGAAUGCGUGGUGUAGCGGUGGAAUGCGUAGAUAUUAGGAAGAACACCAGAGGCGAAGGCAGCUAACUGGGCUGCAACUGACGCUGAGGCACGAAAGUGUGGGGAGCAAACAGGAUUAGAUACCCGGGUAGUC
rnacentral:rRNA from 1 species